rnacentral:rRNA from 1 species
UACGGGGGGGGCAAGCGUUGUUCGGAAUUACUGGGCGUAAAGGGCUCGUAGGUGGCCAACUAAGUCAGACGUGAAAUCCCUCAGCUUAACUGGGGAACUGCGUCUGAUACUGGAUGGCUUGAGUUUGGGAGAGGGAUGCGGAAUUCCAGGUGUAGCGGUGAAAUGCGUAGAUAUCUGGAGGAACACCGGUGGCGAAGGCGGCAUCCUGGACUGGCCCUGACGCUCAGGAGCGAAAGCGUGGGGAGCGAUCCGG